rnacentral:lncRNA from 1 species
UAGUCGAACACUUUGUUCAAGUGUGUGUGUUUAUAACCAGGGCCUGAACCAACAAUUGGUAUCAGAGCAAGGUCGUCAAGCUACGAGUGCUGGUUUGAGAGUCGUGUUCGGAGAAGGGGGUGCAGCCCUCUAAACCGCAGAGAAAGAAAUGCAUAGGCCGGGCUGAAGAAUGAAAAGAAAGAAGAAAGAGGCGAUUCAAUCGCUAGAAAGAAAGUGCUGAUCUAGGUCAGCGAAACAGAAAGAAAGAAUGGCUGAUUGAAAUCAGCAAAGUAAGAAGAAAGAAGUCGCGAACGACGUGAGAAAGAAGAGUCGUCGCCAGAAAGAAAGAACGCGAACGACGUGAGAAAGAAGAGUCGUCGCCAGAAAGAAAGAAUGCGAAAGAAGACCGUAGCAGCGCCGCGAGAAAGAGAAAGAGGAUAGUGGCUGCUGCCGACCAGACCGAAAGAACGUAAGACCAAGAGAGACCAUUGCCGGAAAGGAGAUACCGGCAUAAGAAAGAAGAGACCAGUGAGAAAAGACCGAAGCCGUAAUAGACCGAAUGGCUUGAAAGAAAGACCGAAGAACUCGCUGGUGAAAAGAAAGAGAAGACCGUUGUUACUGGAGAAGAAGAACGAAAGCCGUAACAGACCGAACGGCCAAGAUCGAAGCAGUUCUUCUUGCCGGAAGAGAAAGAACGUAGACCGAAACAAAGUGUUUCUUUCAGGAAGAAAGCUUAUACCAAGACCGUAGGAGAAUACCGUGACCGCGGUUUGUUCGAGAAAAAGCCAGAUCGAACCUUCAAAGAAAGAAGACUGAGAAGAAGAAGGUACAUGCAAAGAGGUGGUGAUAAAAAAAAAGAGAGACGUGGCUGAUGUGUGCUGUUGUUUUCAAAGGAGAACAAUGGUGGUGUUUGUAUGGUCCAUGA